rnacentral:tRNA from 1 species
GUCGCUGUAGCUAAGUGGUACAGAGCUUCGCUUCAGAACCGAAGGUCCCUGGGUUCGAAUCCUGGUGAAGACU